rnacentral:rRNA from 1 species
UACGUAGGGUGCAAGCGUUGUCCGGAAUUAUUGGGCGUAAAGAGCUCGUAGGCGGUCUGUCGCGUCGGCUGUGAAAACCCGGAGCUCAACUCCGGGCCUGCAGUCGAUACGGGCAGACUAGAGUUCGGUAGGGGAGACUGGAAUUCCUGGUGUAGCGGUGAAAUGCGCAGAUAUCAGGAGGAACACCGGUGGCGAAGGCGGGUCUCUGGGCCGAAACUGACGCUGAGGAGCGAAAGCGUGGGGAGCGAACAGG